rnacentral:rRNA from 1 species
UACGGAGGGUGCAAGCGUUUAAUCGGAAUUACUGGGCGUAAAGCGCACGCAGGUGGCUGAGUCAGUCGAUUGUGAAAGCCCUGGGCUUAACCUGGGAAUUGCAGUCGAUACUACUCAGCUAGAGUAUGGGAGAGGGUAGUGGAAUUCCCGGUGUAGCGGUGAAAUGCGUAGAUAUCGGGAGGAACAUCAGUGGCGAAGGCGGCUACCUGGCCCAAUACUGACACUCAGGUGCGACAGCGUGGGGAGCAAACAGG